AGAGUUUGAUCAUGGCUCAGGACGAACGCUGGCGGCGUGCCUAACACAUGCAAGUCGAACGAGAUCCAUGGGAGCUUGCUCCCGGAAGAUCUAGUGGCGAACGGGUGAGUAACACGUGAGAAACCUGCCCUGGAGUGGGGAAUAACUCGGGGAAACUCGAGCUAAUACCGCAUACCCUCGGAUGGUCGCAUGGCCGACCGAGGAAAGAUUUAUCGCUCUAGGAGGGUCUCGCGGCCUAUCAGCUAGUUGGUGGGUAACGGCCUACCAAGGCAACGACGGGUAGCUGGUUUGAGAGAACGAUCAGCCACACUGGGACUGAGACACGGCCCAGACUCCUACGGGAGGCAGCAGUGGGGAAUCUUGCGCAAUGGGCGAAAGCCUGACGCAGCAACGCCGCGUGCGGGAUGACGGCCUUCGUGGUUGUAAACCGCUUUCAGCAGGGACGAAAAUGACGGUACCUGCAGAAGAAGCCCCGGCUAACUACGUG
rnacentral:rRNA from 1 species